rnacentral:rRNA from 1 species
ACGUAGGUCACGAGCGUUGUCCGGAAUUACUGGGUGUAAAGGGAGCGCAGGCGGGAGAACAAGUUGGAAGUGAAAUCCAUGGGCUCAACCCAUGAACUGCUUUCAAAACUGUUUUUCUUGAGUAGUGCAGAGGUAGGCGGAAUUCCCGGUGUAGCGGUGGAAUGCGUAGAUAUCGGGAGGAACACCAGUGGCGAAGGCGGCCUACUGGGCACCAACUGACGCUGAGGCUCGAAAGUGUGGGUAGCAAACAG